rnacentral:rRNA from 1 species
GGAUGAACGCUAGCGACAGGCCUAACACAUGCAAGUCGAGGGGCAUCGGGACGUAGCAAUACGUUGCCGGCGACCGGCGGAUGGGUGAGUAACGCGUAUGCAACCUACCCGUAGCAGGGGGAUGGCCCGUUGAAAGACGGAUUAAUACCCCGUAACACAGGGGCUCCGCAUGGAGAUUAUUGUUAAAGGGUCAUUUCUUUUAGAGGUGGUCCGGCUACGGAUGGGCAUGCGUUCCAUUAGGUAGUUGGUGUAGGUAACGGCUCACCAAGCCGACGAUGGAUAGGGGAACUGAGAGGUUGGUCCCCCACACUGGUACUGAGACACGGACCAGACUCCUACGGGAGGCAGCAGUGAGGAAUCUUGGUCAAUGGACGCAAGUCUGAACCAGCCAUGUCGCGUGAAGGAGGACGGCCCUAAGGGUUGUAAACUUCUUUUGCAGCGGAAUAAAGUUUGCCACGAGUUGGCGAUUUGCAAGUACGCUGCGAAUAAGGAUCGGCUAACUCCGUGCCAGCAGCCGCGGUAAUACGGAGGAUCCGGGCGUUAUCCGGAUUUAUUGGGUUUAAAGGGUGCGCAGGCGGGGAUUUAGGUCGGCGGUGAAAUUUCGGGGCUCAACCUCGAUAGUGCCGUUGAAACCGUUUCUCUUGAGUGCGGAUGAGGUAGGCGGAAUUUGUGGUGUAGCGGUGAAAUGCGUAGAUAUCACAAGGAACACCGAUUGCGGAGGCAGCUUACUAAACCGUUACUGACGCUCAUGCACGAAGGCGUGGGGAUCAAACAGGAUUAGAUACCCUGGUAGUCCACGCAGUAAACGAUGAUUACUUGCUGUUUGCGAUACACAGUAAGCGGCGUAGCGAAAGCGUUAAGUAAUCCACCUGGGGAGUACGUUCGCAAGAAUG